CCACCCUCAGGCCCCGCCUGGUGUUGGGGGUCUGCGCCUGCAGCCCCCGAAAGACAGCGGCGGUCCCGGCCCCGGCCCCGAGCGUAGUACUGUACGUCGCUCCGGGCGCCGGGCGGGCCCCAGCCGGAAGCCUUCUCUUCUACAA
rnacentral:misc_RNA from 1 species